rnacentral:tRNA from 1 species
CGGGGUGUGGCUCAGCUUGGUAGAGCGCUUCGUUCGGGACGAAGAGGCCGUGAGUUCGAAUCUCGUCACCCCGACCA